rnacentral:RNase_P_RNA from 1 species
GAAGUGGCUCGGGUGGUCGCGUUUGAAGUGAUUCAAGCGAGGAAAGUCCGGGCUGCACAGAGCAGGAUGCUGGAUAACGUCCAGUGAGGGGAACCUCAGGAAAGUGCCACAGAAAACGUACCGCCAAAACAAUUGUUUUGGUCAGGGUGAAAGGGUGCGGUAAGAGCGCACCGCUUGUUUUGGUGACAGGACAAGGCUUAGGUAAACCCCAUUCGCAGCAAGACCAAAUAGGGAGUCGUUAAGCGUUGCUCGCGCGUGGCUUCGGGUAGGUUGCUUGAGGCUGCUGGUAACAGUAUGUCCAGAUGAAUGAUCAUCAUUUUCACCUUGGUGGAAAUACAGAACCCGGCUUAUAGAGCCACUUCGCAU